rnacentral:rRNA from 1 species
GACGAACGCUGGCGGCGUGCUUAACACAUGCAAGUCGAACGGAAAGGCCCUGCUUUUGUGGGGUGCUCGAGUGGCGAACGGGUGAGUAACACGUGAGUAACCUGCCCUUGACUUUGGGAUAACUUCAGGAAACUGGGGCUAAUACCGGAUAGGAGCUCCUGCUGCAUGGUGGGGGUUGGAAAGUUUCGGCGGUUGGGGAUGGACUCGCGGCUUAUCAGCUUGUUGGUGGGGUAGUGGCUUACCAAGGCUUUGACGGGUAGCCGGCCUGGGAGGGUGACCGGCCACCUUCGGACUGCGAGACGGCCCAGACUCCUACGGGAGGCAGCAGUGGGGAAUAUUGCACAAUGGGCGGAAGCCUGAUGCAGCAACGCCGCGUGCGGGAUGACGGCCUUCGGGUUGUAAACCGCUUUCGCCUGUGACGAAGCGUGAGUGACGGUAAUGGGUAAAGAAGCACCGGCUAACUACGUG